GACGGAGGGUGCUAGCGUUGUUCGGAAUUACUGGGCGUAAAGCGUGCGUAGACGGCUAUCUAAGUCGGGUGUGAAAGCCCCGGGCUCAACCUGGGAAUUGCAUUCGAGACUGAAUAGCUAGGGUACGGUAGAGGGAAGCGGAAUUUCCGGUGUAGCGGUGAAAUGCGUAGAUAUCGGAAGGAACAUCAGUGGCGAAAGCGGCUUCCUGGACCAGUACCGACGUUCAGGCACGAAAGCGUGGGGAGCAAACAGG
rnacentral:rRNA from 1 species